rnacentral:rRNA from 1 species
AUGAGCAGUCCGGCAGAUCCGCUUGACCACGAACCCACCGCCAUCGAAUCCAUAUCGACAGAAGAAAAAAGAGCUGACCAGUGCGCCGCGGGGAUAGCUCAAAUGUCCGUCAAAGAGGCGCGGCCACUGUUGACGGUAGCUGAAGCAGACGAGCUAGAUUCUUCUAAUGGCAGCACAGAGCAGCACGUCUCAACAGUAGUAGACGGAGAUCCUGGAUCAAAAUCAAGGACUCCAAAUGUGAUUGAUGUCGAAACGGAAAAGAGCGGCUGGGUUCGACGUCACAGACACAGCGCAAUGCCUGACGAACGAGCCGCUAGUGCAGAAAGGAUUAGUGCACUGGAAUUAGCAUUUAGAGGAUUCGCUGAGAGGAAAGGAGAUGAAGUCGUAGUGCCUUCUAUGGGGUUGACAUUUAAUUCGCUAGGAGAGGCCUACGACUACUACAACCUGUAUUCAUGGGAAUGCGGUUUCAACAUCAGGUACGGGAAGAGUCGCACAAAUGUCAAAGGUGCUAAAAGCAUGCAAGAGCUGCUUUGCAACUGCGGGGGGAAACCAAAGAAGGUGAACUCUACCUCUUCCAGAACAGAGUGUCCAGCGAUGAUUAGAUUGCUGAGGACUGAAGAUGAUGGCCGGUACAUAUGUGAGUACAAAGUCUCUCACAACCAUGAGAUGUUACACACAUGCGCCCAGAAACUCCACUUCCCUUCCCACCGGCACAUAGACAAAUACACAAGAGAGCUGGUAUCUCAACUACGUCAGAAUAAUGUCAACCUCAGCAAAGUUUACAGCAUAAUAGGGACAUUUUUUGGUCGCAUAGAGAAUGUUCCUUUCACCAAAAGAUGCAUGAGGACCUUGUGCGCGAAACUAGGCAGAGACCAAGCAGAUGAAGAUGUUAAGAAGACAAUGGAUUAUUUUGCUGAGCUGAAGCAGAGUGACCCUGAAUUCACUUAUACAGUUCGUGUAGAAGGUGAGAGUAGAGUUAGAACAGUGAGAGUAGAGUUAGAACACUGA